UUGCUUGUGAAAUUUUAAUGUUCUAAUUAGAUAAAAAAUUAUAAUAUGGUUAGAUAUGGAGACUGCGGCUGAUGUUUGGAGAAUAAAGCUAUUUACACGAAAGAACAAAGAAAUCGAUGAAACGAGAAAAAAAUCAAACGUCGGCGAUAUCGAGAGAAAGUUCUCGAAGAUACCUUCGUGUACGUCAUGUCGCUACACCAAAUCCAAAACGUGCGGCAGUACAGAGGAGGGCUUGAUGUGCAAGAAGCCGCCUCCGAUCCCCGAUCACUCCUUCGCUAGCCUCAAACAAAUCCUCAGCAAGGAUUGUUGUAACUGUUGCGGUACCGUUAUUGAAUUCUUCAAAGAAGCGUUCAAGACUAUCCAGGGCUACCCCAAAACUCGGGUGUGCGAUAUCCUCGCUGAUAUGAGUGAUUACCUCCUCGCAAUAGCCAGUGAUUGCGUUCUGUUGUUGAGACGAUGUUUUCAUUAUUUUAUGUCUGCUAAAUAAUCGUUUUAUUUUU